GUAGGCUCCGCGCAUGCGCUGAACCGAUCGUGAACACGGAGCCAUCGCUCUUGAGCACCGAAGCUGAUUAAAGUUCACUUUCCGUCAGGACUGAAGGUACCAGCCUACCAGGUACCAGGUACCAGCUAAAGCCUCAGUAGUGGGAUCGCGCCUGUGUUCAGACAGGGAGAAACCCACGUGUGAUGAAAAUGAAAAGAGUUACAAAAAUGUCACCAGGUGCCAAACAGGCAAAAAGUGCUGACUCAGUCUAAAACGUGUUAACGGAGCUCAUUGAAAGGUACAGUCUCUCCUCUCUUAUGAAGCCCAACAGAUCAAAUACAAGCUUUUCUCACUGUAUUUACAGUGUGUUGCUUAGACUGUGUCGCUAAUCUCUACUUCUCUUUAUUUUCAGGAAUGAGUACGGCUCCAGAAGUUGUCAUGGCAACCCACUGUGGCCUUAGGGUUUUUGUCCUCUCUCUGAUCACCAACAAGGUGGGGGAAAGCUACGAGGACACAGAGUGUGAACCAUGAAGGUGGGACGGCUGUGUUCAUCUACUGUACAGCAGUUAGUGACUGAACUGAUCAGCAGAAUGGAGAUCAAUAACACCAAUACACAUGUCUGAAUACAUAUUUACUGUGGAUAUUGUGUAUUAUUGAUCUUUUAUUACAUCAACGUGGUGAUUAAUAGACUGUUAGGAUGAAUAAGAGUGUAAGUAUUCAUUAUUGUUAUAUGACGUUCAGCGUAAGAUGUGAUAUAAAUGAUAACAUUUGUGUUUUCAUUUAAAAAUCAAUCAUUUUUUAAAGAAUAAUCAGUUCUUUGUAUAUUGUUUCUGUUAAAUGACUGAAUGUUGUUUUAUAAUGUGUUACUGACUGAUUCUAUGCACCAUGUUAGUCUGUUUAAAACGUGCUGUCAUACAUGAUAUUAC
rnacentral:lncRNA from 1 species